UACGGGGGGGCAAGCGUUGUUCGGAAUUACUGGGCGUAAAGGGCUCGUAGGCGGCCAACUAAGUCAUACGUGAAAUCCCUCGGCUUAACCGGGGAACUGCGUCUGAUACUGGAUGGCUUGAGUUCGGGAGAGGGAUGCGGAAUUCCAGGUGUAGCGGUGAAAUGCGUAGAGAUCAGCAGGAACACCCUGGCGAAGGCGGCCCCUGGGCCGUACCUGACGCUGAGGCGCGAAGGCUAGGGGAGCGAACGGG
rnacentral:rRNA from 1 species